GAUCCACCCGCCUCGGCCUCCCAAAGUGCUGGCAUUACAGGCGUGAGCCACCGCGUCCGGCUGUUCUUUCUUAAAGCUGAAUAAACUUGGUGUUGGUUGAAGCUUACUGUGCCUUGUUAGUUUGACAAUGUAAAUCUAAGACCUCUGCUUCUGGGUGAGCAGAGUGGGUGCUGCAACUGUUAACUGUCUGAGACUAUGCAAAGGGAAACAUGAGAAAGAAAUGUACUUGCCCUGUGUAAUAAAGCAGAGGCUUAUGAUGUGAUGCAAUUGUACAAUGGAAGAAAUAGGAAGGAUGGUGAAUUGUGGGGCUGAAAACUGGAGGAUGGUAGAAAUCUCUGUAGGGAACAGUAGACCCUUGAGCCCUACUAGAACCCACACAGCCAGACAACUUCCUCUUCUUUUCUGUCCUCACUGGCAUCCAAUCUCUGACCACAAUUCUAUCUUCUGAAGAAAUCAAACCAGUAAGGACUCCAACUGAGAAAAAUAAGAGAUCAUGGAAGUCAAAGAGAUUCCAGAAAUCUUCCUUGAACAUUUUCCCUAUGUGUGGAUAAACGGAGAAAAAGACCAUCUAUGAACCAGGAAGAGAGCCCUCCCCAGGAACCAAAUCAGUCCUCACUUUGCUCUUGGACUUUCCAGACUCCAGGACUGUGAGUAAUAAAUUUCUGUCAUUUACAGGUAACCCAGUUUAUGGUAUUUUGUUACAGCAGCCUGAAUGGACCAAGACACUUGGGAAAUGGAAAGAGGGAGUAAGAUAGAUUUUUAAUAUCCAUAUUUAUUAUCAUGAUCUUGAACACACACACACACGAAGUUUCUAACACAGAGAAAAUUAUUAUUUACUCAUAGCAAAUAAACAUGUGGUUUCCUGGUACCUUAACUUUUUAACCCUGGUGUAAAGCAAUGAGAUCCAGAUGUUAUCCUAUACAUACUAAUUUGUAUUGUAGGAGAGUAGUUCAGAAAAAAAUAAUCGAGGUAUUUUGCUUGUUGGGAAGCAUGUUUUUACUCUGACCUUUUGGAAUGUAUAUAAAUCUCUCCAAGGGAAAGGUAACAUUAUUGUGUUCAGCUUUUGAACUUAGGAGUAUCUUUGAAGUCGCAUGUCUCAGUAACCUGUACCCUCCCCCAAUUCCUCAAAUGUAUUUCUCUAGAAUUCUUUAUCUCAAACAGACAUAAUUUAUCUUUCCAAACUGGCCCAUGUCCCGACUUUCUGUAAAAUUUACUCAGAAAGCUUUACCUGUCAAAGCUGAGUUUAUUAAGCUUAAUACAGAAAUGGAAAACCCCACAUUCACCAUCUUUUAGUAUCAAAAGGCAGGGAAAAGAUAAUUGAUAUAUUUUGUCCCCCAGACUCAAAUAGAUUAGUAUGUAUAUUUCAAGGCAAGAAAAAUGAUUGGGAGUUAAUGUCCAAGUUUGUAAUAUACUUGUUGAAGAUUAGUAGACACAGCAAGACCAGGCUCUCAAAAUCAACCUCGGCAUGCUGGCUAUCGUCCUGGUAAGUGAGCACUUUGUCCAGGUGAGCAGGUUGUUGUGUGUGUGUGUGGGGGUGUGUUUGUUGUGAGUCUAGAGUUGACAAAUUUUACGCCUUUCUUAACUUUUAUUUUUUUCUGCUUGCUCAUUACAUGACUUGAAAUAGUUUACAAGUCACUGCAUGAUAUGAUUUGGAUCUGUGUCCCCACCCACAUCUCAUGCUGAAAUGUAAUCCCCAGUGCUGUUGGUGGGGCUGGGUGGGAGGUGAUUGGAUCAUGGAUGCAGUUUCUAAUGAAUGGCUUAGCACCAUCCUCCUUGGUAUUGUCUUGAUGAUACUGAGAUCAUCAAGAUACUGAGUCUCAUUGAAGAUACUUGGUAUUGCCUUGAUGAUACUGAUACUGAGUUCUUGUGAGAUCUGGUUGUUUAAGUGUGCGGCACCUCCCCCUUCUCUUUUCUUCCUGCUCCAGUCAUGUAAGAUGAUCCUGCUUCCCCUUUGUCUUCCACCAUGAUUGUAAAUUUCCUGAGGCCUCCCUAGAAGCAGAGCAGAUGGCCAACAUCACGCUUCGUUUAAGCCUGCAGAACCAUAUGUCUCCUCUGCUACUGGAGGAAAUUCUGAAUAAGAGUGAGUGCAUUUGAUUUCUCUUUGAACACGUAUGAGAUAACUAGCAUGGUGUCUGGCUUUGAAAUGAAACACUGAAACCUCUAUGGUUGCUUGUAAUUUUAAGGCCAUUCUGACUGAAGACAGACAAAAAGUGAGUCAAUGAUGAGCCCUCAAAUUUUAGGACUCAUUAUUGACUCACUUUCUAUCCACAUGCUUCAUAUGUUUUUGUAUUAAUGAGUAAGUAGGUGGAUGAGGAUAAUGCAUAUUUACUUAAUCUUUUAAUUAAAUUCAGUUGAGAUGAUGGGAAGCCUCUCUCUCAAAGAUAUCCAUCCAGUUUGAUGGCCUUGUACAGCAAACAUCGGGCUAUGUUUGAAUUUGAGUUCACAUUAUCCUAUUAAAAUGAUAAUACUAGGUGAAAGUUUCUUGACUUCAGUCAGAUAAUCUUUGAGAGGCAACUCUUCCUUGGAUCACCAAAAAUACAUUAAAUUUGAGAAAUGGAUAAUCCUAACCCGUUUAAUUUUGUUUACACCCAGCUAGAAUGGUGGAAAGCUGUCAAAAUCCAACCCCAGAGAACAAGGUCAUUACCUCCAACAAACUCAUGUGUUCAAGCUGCCAAUUUGAGGCUUAGAGUAAGCUCUCAAAAAGAGAGCUAAUAGCAGUGCCUCUAUGUAACUUGCAGCCAACUAGCUUAAAGGCACUUAAAGAUAUUUUAUUGGCAUGCAAGUCAGGAAAUGCAACAAUACUACUAAACUCCAGUGGUCCAAGAUAGUGGUGAACUUUCAUGAUGCUCUGCUCCAAGUGACAGAUGCAAGCCUUUGGAAGCUGUGCUAAAAGGGAAUUAUAAUAAAACUGGCUGCAUGGUGAGAAAAAAACACAGCCUCGUGGCAGGACAGUUAUGAGAAAUAUGGAUUCAGCUGGUGUUGUUUACACAUUAGAAAAAAUGUAUUUCGCGCUAAAUCCAAUCUGUGAUGUUCCAAUGAGAAUAUGUGGCAUCCAGUAAUCCACUAUCAAAGCUGAUCUUCCUACUUGCAUAAAGAGUGAUAUGAAAGAAAGAGGGAUUAGAGACUCUGUUUUUAUUUCAUUCCUCUGAAUGUUAUCUUUGGAGGAUUAAGAAUGACUGAUGCUGAUACACUGAGACAACCAGUUGAGACCAAGUAAUUCUUGAAAGAGAAAAUUGACAGAUAUAUCUGGCUGUGCACCUGAAUACUAGGAAAAUACUUAGGAAAGUGUGCUUUGAGUUUAGAGUGUUCAUUCUGAUAAAUUUUAUGUAUAUUUAAUCAUUCAGGAAAGAGGAGAGCUAUGCGAAGUCUGUAGUAAAUGGCACAUUUGAAAUGUCAGUUGGCAUAUUCAUGAAUAUGUUUCCUACUUGUAAAUAAAAUUAAAAGAACUGGAAACAUACUUCUAUAGACUGAAUACUUAAGUCCUCUACAAAAUGUGCACAUUUAAAUUCUAACUUCAGGGUGAGGGUAUUAGGAGGAAGGAUCUUUGGAAGGUGUUUAGGUCAUGAAAGCAGAGCUUUCUUGAAUGGGAUUACCUUAUAAAAAGACCUCGGGGAGAUCCCCUGCCCUUUCUCACCACAUGAGGGCAAGCUCUCAAGAUGUUAUCAAUCAGUAAGCAGGUCCUCACCAGACACUGAAUCUGCUGGCACCUUGAUCUUGCA